CAUUAAGAAGCUAAGUAGCGUUAACCUUUUAAGUUAAAGAUUGAGAGCUUAAGCCUCUCCUUAAUGA
rnacentral:tRNA from 2 species